rnacentral:lncRNA from 1 species
UAGAUUAUUGAAGUCUGAUAUAUUAUUGGUCAAAUUAUGUCACCUUAUUUUGAUCUCCAAUAGCUAAGUAAUUGAAGAACAAUUGUACAAACAGUCAUCCACACACCAAAUGAUCUACACUAGAAGCAAGUAAAAGAAAAUGUAUGGAAAAUGAAAUUUCUAACAUUUUUCUCUCUUUUUUCUGAUGGUGCAAAUCACUGGCUGCUAACAAAACGCAUGAUUAUUUAUGAUGAUGAGGGUCAGGUCCCCCUGGACUAAGUCGUUUCGACUCGAAUGGGAUUCCGCCAUUUCUUUGAAUGCUUGCUUUAAUGGCUUCCCUGCCUUCUUCGAUCAAUGGACGGUUGGCUUCAAUAAUGGUUGCUUUAGAGUGUUGUUUGCCUGCAACUGCCAAUGCUAACUGGUCUGUGCCUGAAAAUUGUUUCGAUUCAAAAUGUCUAUAAGUUAUUUCUACUUCAUCAUGUUUACUACUAGCCUUAUACUGUGAUUUUGAUUCCAUUUCCAAUGCCGGAUCAGCAGUCGAAAAUGGAUGAAACAACCGAGCCCCGGAACUCGAAACCAAGAACAAAACUUGCAGGGAAAGGUAGAAUAAAACUUUGAAGCUCGCCAUUGAGAGUUAUCAAAUGCAGGGUUGAUAGUUGCCUAGCAUGGGGUGCAUGAAUAGAGUAUAUAUAGGCUUCAUAGCCAUCAUUUUUCCAGAAUAUUUUAAGUUUUGUCAAGUGGGAGUCCAAUGAUCUUUUCUUUUCUUUUUGAGGGGUCUAGAGAUGAAAUUUUCAGUGCUGGAAUUGACUUUUUCUUAAACCAACACUAAAGUAUAUGAAGAAGAUGAACAUUAACCAACAAAGUUAUUUCAACUUUGCCAAAGCAUGUUACCGGAUUUGAAGAUAAAAUUAAUGCCCCACUAAUCCAUUUAGUUUUUCAUCAUCUAGCCUCUAGCGUUUUGACAAAAAGGAAAAAUGAAGUGUUCCAUGUCAUGGGGCUUGGCAUUUUGCAUCAGCAUUUGUUGGAAAGCAGUGUGGUCUGGAUUUCCAUUUUCUCUUAGAUUCUUUCUUACCAAACAAAGGGCCAUUGCUAAUUUACUCUUUUCUCUUAUUUCUUCUUUCCUUUUUCAUUUUCUCAUUGCCCUUUUUUCAUUUUCUUCAAUAUCAGAAGAGCUUGAACAAAAACAAAAAAUUCUGCUAUUACAUAAGGCCCUGUUUUAACAUUAUUAAUUUGAUGAAAAAUGGCAGAGGGAAGAUUAAGAUUGCGUAAAUUAUGUUCUUAAUUUUUCUCUACGUAAACCUGCUUUCAAAUAUGUUAAGUUCAUAUAGGGUAUUCAAUUCAUCGACCUUGACUUACACAGCAGGCGAGUAAUUAACAUUCUUUGUGGAAACUAAAGAAUGCUAAUUGAUUCCACUAAAAAAGUAAGAAAUUAUUCAAAUGGUAUAAAGAUAUAUUAAAUGGCAGAACAUUUAUCCUCUCAAUGCAUCUUUUGUAUAAUACAUACAGACUUUUUUCUUCAUCAAAUAACUAUUUAUGCUCUGUUACUUCAACAACUCUCUCCCACUCCACAGUCCAAGCUUUAAUAAAUACACAAUGCUGUUUAAACAAAAUAAAUUAUGGCCUAAUGAAUCAUUUAGUCAUUAAACUAUCUUGCUUUUUCCGCUUUCAUUUUUAAAGUUUUUUCUUCGGAUUAAGAACUAACAUUAUAAAAUCGACCAAAAUAUCUAAUCAAUUAUAAAAUGGCACGUAGUUAUUCAUGAAAACUAAAUUUCUUAUUAAAUCUUCUUAAUAUUCUCAUAUGACUCUCUUUCUCACAUAAUAUUUCUUCUUCUCUUGUCUUGAGGUAAUUAUGAGAAGAGUUUGGAGUACUGUUACGAGUACUAUUCAACCUUAUAACUUGCCAUAUUUAGCGUUAGACAACUUUUUGUAAAUAAAAUGGAUAGUAGGAAGUGAAGGAUGUCGAGAGUAAAGUCAAUAAUUUUGCAAUUUGCAAAGUUUAAUUGUUUUUCAAUAUCCAUUUGUUUACCCGAUAAUUCCACGUAAAUUAAUUAAUUGAAAAGUAAGACAUGUGGUAUUUUAUUAUUGAUUGAAUAUCUCAAUAAAUAAAUUAAAUUAUUGCAAAUGUAUCUCUGAAAACAGUUGCCUCAAAGUCGGCAAGAGAAGGGUAGUGCAUGUUCCAACCUUGAUGGUGCAAUUUAAUAAUAAAAAAUACAGAACAGGAUAAUGAAAAUUUGCUUUGCUGAUGAUAAUAGGCAAUUCCUUCAUCUUUAUCAGCUUGUAGCCGCCAAUUUUCAUCAUCAAAUUGCUGCUCUUAAAUCAUUUAAAUCAUCAAUUGGUUUGGAAAGAUUUGAUGGUCGAUACCAACUAAUGUGAUUAACCAUUUAAAUCAUUGGUGAUUUUCGUAGAUUAACAAAGUAGAACAGUUCCUCUGCAACUAUGUAUAUUACAUUAUUGAAUAUUUUGCAACUUAAUGCUUCCAGAUGGUACAAACUUGGCUCUACCGCAACAAACAAGUCUCAUAUGAUUAAUUCAUUGCUUAAGCAUAUGAAAAGGGCUUAAAGGUUUACCUUAACAAUCAAUUGGAUGAUGAGAUGUUUGGGCAAUUAAGAGGGGAGGGUAAAACAAGAGAAGGGAUGGUGGAGUAUAUGAUCUCACAAUUGGCCAAUCACUUGACUGCCACCUCACGCCGUCCCAGUUUGCGGAUGCUAAUACGUCGUCAUGUGCUUGGAUGAUGUGGAUCUUGCUUCAUUUGACUCCCACUUCAACCCUUUGUUUUAUACUUGCAAAAAGUCAUUCGUUUCAACUUAUUAAUUUACAUUAGUUAGUGCUUCGCAUGGAUCACCACUUCCAUUUUUUAUUCAAAAAUUAUCUAAAAUUGAUUUAAAAUAUAUAUAUAUUAGAUUAGGGUAUAUUUAUGAUGAGGGUAAAAAAAUUGUAUAAUAAAAUUUAAAAAAUAUAUAUGAAAAUUAAAUGUAGCUUUAGUCGAAUUAAUAAAAUCGAGGGAAAACAAAUUUUGAAGUCUUGGAUGAAUCUUAUCAUGUACAAAAAUUAUUUUAUAAAAAUAUUGAAGUUUUGAUUAAAUUAAUUUUGAUUAGCUAUGAAAAAUUGAUUUACUCAAUAUUUUAUCCAUUAUCGAUAUUUAGUAUUUUUUUUAUAAUUUUUAAAAAUACGAAACUUUUAUUAUACAUUCAUCUAUAUUUAAUAUAUUCUUUUAUAAUUUUUAAAUUAUUUUAAUUUUUUAAAAUUUAAUCGUCUUUUAUUUCUUUGAUUUUAGAUUGUGCUUUAUUUUUAUGUAGUCAAUUUUUUUAAUUCUUUUAAUGUUUAGGCAAGUAAUUUUUCUUUUUCAAUUUUAAUUUUAUUAUUUCUAUUGUUUUAAUUUUUAAUCAAAUUUCAGAAUUUGAUAAAACCAUGCAUGGUGGUUAUAAUUUUUCAAAUUUGAUUUUUUUUCUAGUGUUUUUUUUCUAUAUUUUUAAUGGUUGAUUUUAUUUUAUUUUUCAAUUUUUGCUUGUGAUUUUUAUCAAUUUUUUUCAUUUUUAAUUAUUGAUUUAAGCAUUUUAAAUUUUUAUUUAUGUUUUUUUUAACAUAUAGUUUCAACAUUUCCCUCAAAAUUGUAAUUAUUUUAAUUAAAAUUAAAUUAAAUUAGAGAUAAUUUCGUAUGUGAUUGAAUGUAGAAUAAUAUUUGUAUGUCUUUAAAAAUUGAUGAUGUGGCAUUAUUUAUAUUUUAUUGAUACCUAAAAAUUAUAUAUUUUAAUAUCAUUAUAAUUUAAGUUAUUCCCACUAAAAUAAGUCUCUUUUACAAUUAUUUCUUAGCAUAGGUUCAUUUCUAGAUGUUGAGUUUUUUUAUAAAUGUUGAAAACUAAUAGCAAAAAAUAUGUUAUCCAAUCAUCUGGUUUGAUGAUGUGACAUUAUUUUGACCUUGACAUCCAUUAGUAUCAAGGUUCUUCUGAGUAAUUUUUAGAAAAACCCUUAGGAUCGGAAUCUUGUACUUUGUUGUUACAGAUAUGGAUUUGAGUUAAUGUGGCAGAACCUUGAACCAUAGUGGUGUUAAAUUUAGACUAGACUUGUUCAUGGGUUGAGCCACUCACCCAGACAUGAAGGCCUACUUAAAAAUGGGUUUAGACAAAAUACGAUACCCAAAAAAUGGACUUGGACAAAAUUUAUGGCUCGUUUUCUAUAUGGGUUGGGCCUUAGGCAAGAUUUUUGGUCUAACCUCGGCCUGAAUAUAUUAUGUUAUAAGAAUAUUAUAUUAAUUAUAUAUGUUAAAUAAUAGUUAUAUAUUUAUAUUUAUAUUAAAUCACUAACCUAAUAACAAUUAAACUCAUUACCUAAAACCUAAAAAAAAUAAAAAUUUACCCAACUAAAUAAGCCGACCCAAAAUAUUAAAUUUUAAAAAUUAUAUUUAAUAUAAUAAAAUAUUUAUUAUAUUUAUGAUAGUGUUUUUUAAUAUAAAUAAUUUUUAAUGUAUUUUAAUAUGUUAGAAAUUAAAAACUUUUAUUUUAGUAUUUUUUAGUGCAUUUAAUUUUAUAAAUUGAUUUUUUAAAUAAAAAUUAAUCUUAAAAAAAUCAAAUAUGGGCAGGCCGGGUCCUGGUUUACCUUUCUUAAAUUAGAUCGGAUUUCGGUAAAAAUUAGCUCAUUUUUCGAACGAACUUGAAAAAUUGAUUUUAAUACCUUAUAAGGAUCUGACUUGAACAGACCAUUUGGUGAGUAUGAAGGUUAUGGUAAUUCCGAGUUGAAAAGCAGUGUGGUCUGGAUUUCCAUUUUCUUUCUGAUUCGCUCUUGCCAACAAAGGGUUAUUGCUAAAAUUAGCCACCGAAUACGCACUUCCAUUUCCUUAUGAAAUACUGUACGUCCAUGGUCUGUUACUUUAAAAAAAAUUUCUUCCACGCACAAUAAAUCAAUUAAACUACAUUGAGGACUUGCGAAAAGAAAUCGUGCAUCCUAUAAUAAUAUCAACCACUUUCAGUUCUUUGUUACCAAAUAAACUAUUGCCUCAAAGUUGACAAGAAAAGCCUUUUGCAUGUUAUGGUGAAAUUUAAUAAAUAAAUAAAAAUUAAAAAAGGAAACUGCUGCUGAUAAUAGUCAAUUACUUCAUCUUCACCAGCUUGGAGCCGCCAAAUUGCUGGUCUUAUAUGUAUAAUAAAUUAUGUUAAUAAUAAAUAUCUCCCAAAUAAAAUUACACAAUUAGAGGAUAGCAUAGAUAUUCUUAAAGAAACUCAGAGAAUCUGAUCAAAACUCACAUUUACAACAAUUCAGUGGACCAAAAAUCAAUACUGUUAAUAUGUACAAUAGCUUGAUUUGCUCAACAUUAACUAUCGUGCCAAUUUAUUUACUUACAGGCGAUUAGCAUAUUCCAAAAAAACAUAAAUCACUUAAAAGAACCUGUAACAGAUUUACUUACAAGGGCACAUCCGAUCACAGCGAUGGAUCUGGGAGGGACAGUUGCCCUCCUUGGAAUUUUUAAAUUUUAUGUAUAAAUUAUCAUAUAUUUUUAGAUUUUGUGUUCAUAUUGUAUAACAUUUGCUAUCCUUGGUCAAAUUUUAUUUCAUAUAAAAAUAAAAAAUAGUUAAAUUAAUAGAAAUAAAGUUUUCCUAAUAUUUCAGUCCCCAAUAACAAUGUCAAAAACUUGAUUGCAGUCGUAAACUAACUAAAAAUUUGACUAAGGUAAAUGUACAUAUCAAUUAAUAGUAUAACUAUGGUGAGCACAGAUAUCGUUCCCAUGAAGACUAAAAGUACUAGUAAUUACUGUCUUUUUAUUAUUUAUCUAACAAAUUGGAAUGAUUAAUUAAAAAUUAAAAUUAACUAAUUAAAUUAACUAAAGAAAGAACAAAUCAGGAAAAUAAUAGGGUAAACAACCAAUAAGUGAAACAAUACUCAGAAAAGAAUUCACCUAGACUUCAUCUGUCACUAUCGAUUUAUAUUACGCAAUUUCUUCAUUUAGUCUCUUGAUCAGUAGAAAUUUCUAAAUUAUGCUAAUGUCUCUUUUGAAGACUAAGAGCAAUUGACUCUAGGUUGAUUAAUCAAAAUUUCUUUCUAAUUAAAACCCCUAUUGUCGUAUUAACUCAAUCUAUAGAUCCCCCUAUUAGAUUUGACUCUAAUUUGAUAGAUUUAUAUUGUCCUAUUUCGAGGAUUACAUGCAACUCCACUCAAUUACGCUAGAUCUGCUCUUAAACAGGGUCUAUUCCUCAUCUGAUUCAAGCACAUCAAACAUGGAUUAUUAGUCUAGAAAUAUUAAACCAAGAACUAAGUACACAUAAUUGAUAACAAAAUUCAAGUAUUUAUUGUGUAAAAAUAGAAAUCAAAUAAUAGAAUCCAUCCUACGAUUCAUCUCCGUAGGUAUUUAGAAAAUUAGUUCAUGAUAACAAAUAAAAACAUCCUAAAGACUGUAUAACUAUAAGAAAUAAAAAAAACUCAUAAUAAACUUCAAAGAAAUCAAAAGGAGAUUCUUCAAUCUUGAUGGAAAUCUACUUCAGAUUUGGCUUCAAUGGUGUUUUUCGAGUUGUUUUCUUGAAUAUUCUAUGAAGGCUCUCCCCUAUCUUCUUAUUUUUUUUUCAUAUAUAGGUCUCAGAAUGCCAAAAAACUUAAAAGUUAUAUUUUUCCAUGUGUUUGGAGUGUGAUUCACGAAAUCCACACAGUCUGGCACAUGGUCAUGUUGUAGCCCGUGUGGCUUACACAGCUGUGUGUCCAGCCCGUGUGACUCUUGAAACUUAAUUUGAUUUUCCAGUUUUUGCUCGUUUUUCACUCAUUUUGCUCCCAAAAGCCCUCCUAUGUAUAAAAACAUGAAUUUAAAAAAUUAGGAGCAUAAAUUUCACCAUUUAAAUCAAAUAAUCAUUCAAAAACGCAUUAAGAAUGAGACUAAAAUAUGUUACUUUUGGCAUUUAUGAAGUGCUAACUAAGACAAAUAAGUCAAGUAUUUAUCCUCUUCUUGAUAAAAUUAUUCGUCUUGUGCUAACUCUUUCCGUGUCUACUGCAACAAUCAAAUGAGCAUUUUUAGCCAUGAAAAUUGUUCAGACAAUGCUUCACAAUAGAAUAAAGGAUGAUUCUUUUAACUUACUUGGUGACAUAGAUUGAAGAAAAGAGAGCUCGAGAGUUUUCAAUAGAUUCUAUCAUUGAUGAGUUCGAUCUUAUAAAAAAGCGGAGGGUGCAAUUUAAGAUGGCUAGUGUUGAGAAAUAAGACUAAUGCCAAGUUUUUUUAAUUUUAUUUUUGGAAUUAUAAUGAUAUUUAUGAAAUUAUUCGUAUAGUAUUAGUUUUUCUUUUAAUUUUUUUAUAGUUAAAUCGUUCAUACUUUUUUUAAAAACAUUAAAUUAAUUUAUUUGAUAAGAAAAAGAGAAAUAUCCAAGAAGAAUUCACACUUUUUCAUGUUAAAAAAAGAGAUCGUUUGGAUUUCCAUGUCCGAUCCGAACAACACCUUCUUAACCACAUGCAGAUACAAGAGUGGAUUAGCUUCCAUGCGAACUGGUUUCAUCACCAAAUAAUCACAUGAAGCUUAAAGACAUCAAGUAACCUGUCCAUGCUGUACGGGGAACCAUAAAUUUGCGCCGUAGUGCUCGAAAUUUUCAAUCUCAUUCGCAUCGGCAUCCUUACUGGAACUCUUGUGUUCAUCUUUUACAAGUUUAAAUGAGAGGAUGCGUACCCAUAGAUCUCUCUUUUUUGUCACUUUCAGACGUGCAAAUAUAGAUUCGAACCUACGUCAAAGGAGGAAUGUGGGUAUACAAAAAGGACAAUUUCGAAUUAUGACGUCUUACCCGAUAGGUCAGGUCAUGACAUGCUGAUUAAUAAUAAUGCUUAGUAUCCGGUCCUCCCGGCGAGAUCAGAGUUUUUCAUUACAAGCAUCGAUACAAUGAUGAUGAACGACAGCACCGGCCAUGAAAUACGUUCUUUUUAGAGAGGAGAAACGAAGUUAUGUAAAUCAAAUACCCAAUAAGCUUAUAUAUAUUGAAGGAGAAACCUGUGCUGCGCAAUGGGACAAAAUUGAAAUGACACUUCCCCCAAGAAAAGUCCGUUAUUUCUUCAAUAUAAGACAUUGAUAUUGGAACAUCAACGUAUAAGCAGAUAAAACUUAUAGGAAAUGGUUUUGUCGUAACCCCAAAAACACAGCUGAUUUUCUGCUUUCCUGACUCACCACCAUAAACGUUAGAGAGGAUACGAAAAACAAGAUGAUGAUGCUUUAAUGUCGUGGAAAGUUGAUGUUCUUUGCCUUUGAUUAACCGCCAAAAGGGGGGGGGGGGGUCACUGUUUUUAUGUUGUGGCAACUCGGAAAUCUUGUCUUUCUUGCUGUCAAGUGCUUAUCUUCUAUUAACAUUAUUACAGACUUGACUCAAAAAGGCGCUCAUGAAGACAAUACAACCAUUUAUCCUUACCUAAUAGAUUCCUGUCUUUUCCACGGACUUCUUUUAUCCAAUGGAGAGAAAGAGAAUUUCUAAGUUGUCCUUAAGCAUGGAUUGGAAAAUAUAUUAUUUUAAAUGUUUUCGUGGUUGUUUUCUUCCUUUGGCCAUUUGCAAGCCGCACGCAUACAUGAUCCAUUGAAAAAGGUUUUUUGUCCAUAUAUCUUGACACGUAUUACUUUACAUAGUAUACCAGACAUAUAUAGCAUAAAUGAAGAUUAUGCCUUCCAUCAAUUGAGGUGAGUUAUCUAAAGUUUUUAGCAUAAUAAUAACGUGAUAGAAAAACUACAAAUAUAUAACAUAAAUUAAAUAAUCCAUUGAGGUGAAUUCAAAACAUAUUGGUACAAGAAAAACAGUGACUCUUGCAUUAUAUUUUCAGAGAACAAAAUUAAAUUACGGAUUGCUUAAUUAAAUUAGUUUUGGGUAAAAAUGAAACUUGCAAAUUUUUAAACUCUCUCCUACGGUAGUACUAGUUUUUCUAGAAACAGACAAGGCAAAGAAUGUUUUUUCUUUUUAGAAUACUUCUAUGCAAUUAGUUAGAUAAUGUUUUAUUUUCAAAAUAAAUAAGUAAUCCAUUUAGGAGAAAAUGGAAACCGUGUCUUCGAUUUGCUUUCGAAAUGAGGACCAUUAACAAAAAAAAUGAUGAUAAGAAAAGGACUUGUAUUUACUUUGUUCAUCAUCAAGGCACAAUGAAAAAUUGUACAGCUGGACAGUGAGAUUUUGUUUGAAAUUUUGACUGUUAUACUUUGUUGUUUCAUCUUGUUUUAUGACAUUGAGUAUAAUAAUUUUUCUGCAAGAGUCAGAGUAAAUUGAUGUGUUCAUAAAUUUUACUUGCAUAUAAUUAAUGUUUUUAAUUAUUGUCUUAAUUAGACAACAAAUGCAUGGCGUUUAAUGUACAAAGGGAAUUAGAUUUAAAAGAGACUUAAAGCUAUUAUAUUGAUAAUGUUUCGGAAAAUCCAUAGCCGUUGUGAUGUGUUGUUAAAAAUAAAUUGUUUGGAAGUAUUGUAUCAUGUUAAGGGUACUCUAAUGAUACAACAACUGAAUUCGUAUGCAUUCAUGCCAUUGGAGACUUGUUACAUCGAUAUUGAGAUAUUGGUAUUACACAUAUGCAUUGAGAAUGCGAUAGGAUGGCUAAUUACUUAACAAAGGCUAUAGAAGGAAUGAUUAUUAGCUUUUACUCUUGGUCCUAACCUCUUGAUUUUGCUUUGAAUGUACUGCAUGAGGAUGUUAUUGGUUUAUCUUUUCCUAGAUUGAUUGCUAUGUAAUAGCUUUUACUCUCCUUAAUAAAUAAAAAUAAAAAUGCAUGGACUAUAUCUUGUGUUUUUCCUCAAUAGCAAUGUUUAGACCUUGUUGAAACAAAGCGUCUAUUAGCUUGCCUUGCUACUCUGUCAAACAACUCCACUGGAAACGUUGCAUUUGACAUUAUUAUCGUCUCGGUGACGAGCUUAAUGACGACCUCAAUGCCAUUUCAACACCAACUAAUAAUAGUCAAUAGUUGAUAAGUGUAAAAAGUAACAUGUUUUAAUCCUGUUCUUAAUGCAUUUUUGGAUGAUUAAUCAAUACAAAAUGGUGAAUUUUAUGCCCUUAAUACUUUAAGUUCAUGUUUCUAUACUUACGAGAGCAUUUGGGAGCAAAAUUGGCGAAAAUGGAGCAAAAAUUGGACAAUUGAAGCAGAUUUCAAGAGCCACACGGGCUGGGCCUUCCCACACUGCUUGGACAUACGGCCGUGUGAGCCACACAGCCAUGUGCCAGACUGUGUUGAUUUCAUGAGUUGUAUUCCGGACACACGAAAAAAUGUAAGUUUUUAGUUUUUCAGACAUUUUAAGACCUAUAAAUACUAAAUAUAAGAAGAGGAGAGAGAGCCGUCAGAGAAUAUUGAAGAAAACAACUUGAAAAACACCAUUGAAGCCAACUUUGAAGCAGAUUUACACUAAGAUUGAAGAUCUCCUUUUAAUAUGUUUGAAGUUUAUGAUGAGUUUCAUUAUUUCUUGUAGUUAUGCUGACUUUGAGAUGUUUUUAUUCAUGAUUACGAACUAAUUUUCUAAAUAUCUAGAGUAGAUGAACCUUAUGAUGAAUUCUAUCUUUUGAUUUCUGUUUUACACAAUAAAUCCUUAAAUCUUGUUCUCAGUUAUGUGUGCUUAAUUUUUGAUUUAAUAUUUUCGAAUUAUUAAUUCAUGUUUGAUGUGCUUAAUUCAGAGGAGGAAUAGACCAUAUUUAAGAGUAGAUCUAGCAUAAUUGAGUGAAGUUGCAUACAAUCCUAGAAAUAGGACGACAUAAAUCUACCAGAUUAGAAUCAAAUCUAAUAUGGGAAUUCACAGAUUGAGUUAAUGCGAUAUUAGGGGUUUUAGAUUAAUAAUGACAGAUGCAUUCUAGGUGAAUUCUUUCUUGGGUAUUGUUUCACUUCUUGGUUAUUAUUCGAUUAUUUUCCUGAUUUGUUUUUUGCCAAGUUCUUAGUUAAUUAAUUUAGUUAAUUAUAGUUUAAUUCAAUCACUUCAAUUUGUCGGUUAAAUAAUAGAAAAUCGGUAACUACUAGUAUUUUUAGUUCUCAUGGGAACAAUAUCUUUGCUCACCGUAGCUAUACUAUUUAUCGAUAGAUACACUUGCCUUUGUCGUAUUUUUUAGUUGAUUUCGUGGACAUCAAUAGUAAAACACUUAGAUAUUAGAAUAUGAACGUAGUGUAAGAACAAUGCAUCAGGUAAGUUCUCAGAAAAUAGAUGUACGUCAUAAAGACACUCUUAGAUAAUGUCUUUCCUAGUCAGAAUUUUUCCUAAACAUGCACUUUCACACAACUACGCUUCUAUCCAGUAACUGAAGAGCCACAAAUAAUCUCUAAUAGUGAAAAUUUUCUUCCUAAUGCGAAAGAUCAAACAAUACUACAACCAUAAAGCAUAUUAAGAAAAUUAAUACUCCUUCAUUGAGGUUUGAUACCAAUUGUUAGCGAUACAGGCAAUAUCUCAUACAAAUGUAGCUUCAAUACUGAAACACUAAAAUUGAAUUAGAAACAUCAAUACUAAAUUGAAACUAUUCCAAACGCAGUAAGUUAGCUUGGAAAAUUACUACUAAAAAUAAAUUUAAUAUGAUAACAAAACCUAUAAAUGCAAAUAAAAUAAAUAAAAAAGAGUACACCAAAUUUAUGAAACACUAAUAUCACUUGAUAACUUCACUAUCACCAGAAGAUUUACGAACUAAUAAUACACUUACACGAAGGGAAGAGAUUAGGAUGAUUUCAAAGUAAAGCCUUAAACACUUAUUAUAUAAGUGGUUGAGGUGACAUAAAUGCAUCCCCUCUACCAUGUGGGAUGUCAAACAAAACCAACAAUUGUCAAUGGGCUAAUUUAAUGAAUGAAAUGAAAAUUGAGGGAAUCAAGUGAUAGACAAAAAAAAUCAAAGUGGGAAUUUCAUUAUAAUAUAAAAGUCAAAACAUGUAUUAAACAAAUAAAUUAAUAUGAUGUGGUUGGAAUUUUUUUUCUUGAAAUCUUGAAAAGGAUUAAUGAGAAAGGGCAUAACCAUGUUUAAUCCAAGCUAGAGAUUGAUCAGGUUUUUCCGUUUCAAUAGUAAAUCAUUUCUUUCUAUUAAAAUUAGGGGAACUCAGUUUUUGCCCAUUUUGAAUAGUCCCCUUUAACAUCAAAUGAUGAAAUCUCGUAAAAGCAAAGAACACUAUUGGCCUUUGGUUGGGUCUGGUCGGUAUCACUGAGCCGACUUUAGUCCUUUUUUUUUUUUUCUUUAGUAGGUUCCACAUACCCCCCAACUCCAUUAACUUGCUGGAUUCAUUAUGAUUGUGACUCGUAAUAGGUAAAUAGGAAAUAAGAUAAUAUAAAAUAAAAAUAAACAGAGUUUGGAAGUUAAAAUUAUCAUCUCGAAUACAAGAAAUUCAACAUAUUUUAAUCAUAUUUUAAAAGAGUAAUCCUAUUAAUAUUAAAUAUUAAUUUUAAUUUCGAACCUACAUUUCUUUAAUUACUUAAAAUUCAUGUUAAUCCUUUAUAUUUUAUAUCAAUGGCGGUCCCCUUUCACAUUCGGAUAAGAUCAAAAAGUAAGUCGAAACUUACUCUUAAAUCGAGUUCAUUGGAAGACCAUGUUGCAAUUGAAUCUAAAAUAGAACCAAAUGAUCCUCCCUCCGCCAAAAAAUUACAGUAAGUUCUAAUUUCUUUGUUUGACAGCUGAAACGACCUACAAAAUAUGGUUGAGAGUAUAUACAUGGGAUUUGCCAUCAUGGGGGGGGGGGGGUUCUAGGUUUAACAGUGCAAUACACAUACAUGUCGUUCUUUUAGUAUUUAUCUAGUAUUAUUUUAAUUAUCUUUUCUAAUAAUAUCAUCGCGCUAUAUCUGAAAUUUAAAAAAUAUUAUAUAGAUAUUUCUGAUCACAUUAUUCAUAAUUUUUUUCAAUUAUUUAAUGACAUUUCAACAAAAUUUUUCAUGUCGUUGACACAUAAUUUUAUUAAAUUUUUAUCAUGAACGCCAAACCCAGAAUCCAGAACCCUGAGUCCUGAGCCCUAUAUCCUUAACCUCAAACCCCUAGUCCUGUAUCCCGAAUCCUGAACUCCAAAUCUAAACCUUGAAUUCAAACCCUAAACUCUAAACUCUAAACUUGGGGUUCAAGAUUCAAGUUCGGAGUACAAUAUUCAGGGUUUGGAUUCGAGGUUCAAGGUUUAAAAUAAAAAAAUUAUCAAAAUUAUGUGUGAAUAACAUUGAAAAGAAUUACCAAAAUAUUAUUAAAUAAUUAAAAAACUAUAAAUAAUGUGGUAGAAAUGGUCCAUAAAAUAAUUCCUCCUUAAAUUAUUAAGCAUGUCGUGUUUGAAUCCAUCAAAGUAAAUUUAAAUUCUUGAUAUAAUUCCAACUUUAAGUAAAAAAAAAAAAUCCAAAUACCACACAUUUCUUUUUGAUAUCAAUAUCAAGCACAUAUUAGUUGAAAUUUAGAGUGCUAAUUUAUGACAUGCAGUUAAAAUCAUUAAUAUGGUUUACAUCAUAUCAAGUCUAUUCAUCCCAUAUAUGUGCGUAUAUGUGAUAAAAAAGAAGAGAUAAUAUUAAUUUUACUUGUGGUGAAAAAUGACAUGAACAACAAUCUAGCUAGCACCAAUCGCAAAUGCAUGUGCUGCAGAGUGAAGCUAGAUGGAUUCCCAAAAAAAUAAAUGAAGGUGGUCGUAAUUUGCUGAUUUGUGAGUGUAAUGAAGAUAUCCGAACAUCCCACCAUCUCCAAAGUAGUUUAGCCAGAAAAAUGUUAAAAAGAAGUCUAUCCAUAGAAAAUAAAAGCUUCAGAUAGUUGAAUUGCUACAAAAUGAUGGAUAUAUAGAUUAUUGAAGUCUGAUAUAUUAUUGGUCAAAUUAUGUCACCUUAUUUUGAUCUCCAAUAGCUAAGUAAUUGAAGAACAAUUGUACAAACAGUCAUCCACACACCAAAUGAUCUACACUAGAAGCAAGUAAAAGAAAAUGUAUGGAAAAUGAAAUUUCUAACAUUUUUCUCUCUUUUUUCUGAUGGUGCAAAUCACCGGCUGCUAACAAAACGCAUGAUUAUUUAUGAUGAUGAGGGUCAGGUCCCCCUGGACUAAGUCGUUUCGACUCGAAUGGGAUUCCGCCAUUUCUUUGAAUGCUUGCUUUAAUGGCUUCCCUGCCUUCUUCGAUCAAUGGACGGUUGGCUUCAAUAAUGGUUGCUUUAGAGUGUUGUUUGCCUGCAACUGCCAAUGCUAACUGGUCUGUGCCUGAAAAUUGUUUGGAUUCAAACCUAUAAGUUAUCUCUACUUCAUCAUCUGUACUACUAGCCUUAUACUGUGGUUUUGAUUCCAUUUCCAAUGCCGGGUCAGCAGUCGAAAACGGAUGAAACAACCGAGUACCGGAACUCGAAACCAAGAACAAAACUUGUAGGGAAAGGUAGAAUAAAACUUUGAAGCUCGCCAUUGAAAGUUAUCAAAUUCAGG